UGGGGAAUAUUGCACAAUGGAGGGAACUCUGAUGCAGCGACGCCGCGUGAACGAAGAAGGCUUUCGAGUCGUAAAGUUCUUUUAUAUGGGAAGAUAAUGACGGUACCAUAAGAAAAAGCCCCGGCUAACUACGUGCCAGCAGCCGCGGUAAUACGUAGGGGGCUAGCGUUGUCCGGAAUCACUGGGCGUAAAGGGUUAGCAGGCGGAAAUGCAAGUCAGGUGUAAAAGGCAGUAGCUUAACUACUGUAAGCAUUUGAAACUGUAUAUCUUGAGAAGAGUAGAGGUAAGUGGAAUUUUUAGUGUAGCGGUGAAAUGCGUAGAUAUUAAAAAGAAUACCGGUGGCGAAGGCGACUUACUGGGCUCAUUCUGACGCUGAGGAACGAAAGCGUGGGUAGCAAACAGG
rnacentral:rRNA from 1 species